rnacentral:rRNA from 1 species
GAUCCUGGCUUAGGACGAACGCUGGCGGCGUGCCUAACACAUGCAAGUCGAGCGAGGAGAUUCCUUCGGGAUGAUCCUAGCGGCGGACGGGUGAGUAACACGUGGGCAACCUGCCUCAUAGAGAGGAAUAGCCUUCCGAAAGGGAGAUUAAUACCUCAUAACAUUGCAGUUUCGCAUGGAACAGCAAUUAAAGGAGUAAUCCGCUAUGAGAUGGGCCCGCGGCGCAUUAGCUAGUUGGUGAGGUAACGGCUCACCAAGGCGACGAUGCGUAGCCGACCUGAGAGGGUGAUCGGCCACAUUGGGACUGAGACACGGCCCAGACUCCUACGGGAGGCAGCAGUGGGGAAUACUGCACAAUGGGGGAAACCCUGAUGCCAGCAACGCCGCGUGAGUGAUGACGGCCUUCGGGUUGUAAAGCUCUGUCUUCAGGGACGAUAAUGACGGUACCUGAGGAGGAAGCCACGGCUAACUACGUGCCAGCCGCCGC